GACGAACGCUGGCGGCGUGCUUAACACAUGCAAGUCGAACGGAAAGGCCCUGCUUUUGUGGGGUGCUCGAGUGGCGAACGGGUGAGUAACACGUGAGUAACCUGCCCUUGACUUUGGGAUAACUUCAGGAAACUGGGGCUCAUACCGGAUAGGAUCUCCUGCUGCAUGGUGGGGGUUGGAAAGUUUCGGCGGUUGGGGAUGGACUCGCGGCUUAUCAGCUUGUUGGUGGGGUAGUGGCUUACCAAGGCUUUGACGGGUAGCCGGCCUGAGAGGGUGACCGGCCACAUUGGGACUGAGAUACGGCCCAGACUCCUACGGGAGGCAGCAGUGGGGAAUAUUGCACAAUGGGCGGAAGCCUGAUGCAGCAACGCCGCGUGCGGGAUGACGGCCUUCGGGUUGUAAACCGAUUUCGCCUGUGACGAAGCGUGAGUGACGGUAAUGGGUAAAGAAGCACCGGCUAACUACGUG
rnacentral:rRNA from 1 species